UCCGGCUUGACGCCGGCAGUCCCCCGAGAGUCCUCAGCUUUACCUGUUAGUAACACGGGGCAAGGGUUGCGCUCGUUGCGGGACUUAACCCAACAUCUCACGACACGAGCUGACGACAGCCAUGCAGCACCUGUGUACUUGUCCCGAAGGAGGACCUUGCUUUCACAAGGCUUUCAAGUACAUGUCAAACCUAGGUAAGGUUCUUCGCGUUGCUUCGAAUUAAGCCACAUGCUCCACCGCUUGUGCGGGCCCCCGCCAAUUCCUUUGAGUUUCAACCUUGCGGCCGUAGUCCCCAGGCGGGGCACUUAAUGCGUUAGCUUCGGCACGGAAGGAGUCGACACCUCCCACACCUAGUGCCCAUCGUUUACGGCGUGGACUAC
rnacentral:misc_RNA from 1 species